rnacentral:rRNA from 1 species
GCCAUGCCGCGUGUGUGAAGAAGGCCCUCGGGUUGUAAAGCACUUUCAGCGAGGAAGAACGCCUAGCGGUUAAUACCCGCUAGGAAAGACAUCACUCGCAGAAGAAGCACCGGCUAACUCCGUGCCAGCAGCCGCGGUAAUACGGAGGGUGCAAGCGUUAAUCGGAAUUACUGGGCGUAAAGCGCGCGUAGGUGGCUUGAUAAGCCGGUUGUGAAAGCCCCGGGCUCAACCUGGGAACGGCAUCCGGAACUGUCAAGCUAGAGUGCAGGAGAGGAAGGUAGAAUUCCCGGUGUAGCGGUGAAAUGCGUAGAGAUCGGGAGGAAUACCAGUGGCGAAGGCGGCCUUCUGGACUGACACUGACACUGAGGUGCGAAAGCGUGGGUAGCAAACAGGAUUAGAUACCCUGGUAGUCCACGCCGUAAACGAUGUCGACCAGCCGUUGGGUGCCUAGCGCACUUUGUGGCGAAGUUAACGCGAUAAGUCGACCGCCUGGGGAGUACGGCCGCAAGGUUAAAACUCAAAUGAAUUGACGGGGGCCCGCACAAGCGGUGGAGCAUGUGGUUUAAUUCGAUGCAACGCGAAGAACCUUACCUACUCUUGACAUCCUGCGAAUUUGGUAGAGAUACCUUAGUGCCUUCGGGAACGCAGAGACAGGUGCUGCAUGGCUGUCGUCAGCUCGUGUUGUGAAAUGUUGGGUUAAGUCCCGUAACGAGCGCAACCCUUGUCCUUAUUUGCCAGCGCGUAAUGGCGGGAACUCUAAGGAGACUGCCGGUGACAAACCGGAGGAAGGUGGGGACGACGUCAAGUCAUCAUGGCCCUUACGAGUAGGGCUACACACGUGCUACAAUGGUCGGUACAAAGGGUUGCCAACUCGCGAGAGUGAGCCAAUCCCGAAAAGCCGAUCUCAGUCCGGAUCGGAGUCUGCAACUCGACUCCGUGAAGUCGGAAUCGCUAGUAAUCGUGGAUCAGAAUGCCACGGUGAAUACGUUCCCGGGCCUUGUACACACCGCCCGUCACACCAUGGGAGUGGACUGCACCAGAAGUGGUUAGCCUAACGCAA